AUUGGAGAUGAAAAAUAAUUUUUAUAAAUGAUUGAAUUGAUGAGGUUUAAACAAGAAACAGAUUAAGAAAAAUACCAGUACUGAGUUUAUACAUAUUUUUUUUUUUGAAAAACACGUGAAGCAAUUAUGAUCAAAUAUAAACAUAAUAAUGAAGCAGUGAUGAAACACGUUAAAACAAUUAAGAAGCUGUUGGGUUGCAAUUUUGGGAACAUACUUAAUUGAGCUAAAAUGGGUUAACAGGGUAUUGGAAAAACAAUGACGCAAUUUUUAACUACAAAUAAACACAAAUCAAACGGACUGAACAAUAACUAAAUUUCAACGACAAGCAAAUGAAGAUGGUGUGAUUAUUAAAUGUUUCAAAACAACAUGUAUGCAAGUAAGAGUGUGUGUGAGAAUAAUUGGACAAGGGAGGUGCACCCCAGAAUGAAUGUUGAAUAAUGUGUUAUGCUUAUACGAAGGAUUUACAGGAAACCAAUGGAAGACGAUCAAGUAGACAACAAAUUUCAACAAGGACGAAUAUGGAAUUCAGCUCAAGGAAGGGUAAAAUUUGUGAGUAUAUAGUGGGGAAUCUAAAAAGAUCGAAAAGGACGGUAAAAGUUCCGAUCUAGGGAUACAUAAACUGAUAAAGCAACGCCAAAGGGAU